GACGAACGCUGGCGGCGUGCCUAAUACAUGCAAGUCGAGCGAAUCACUGGGAGCUUGCUCCCGGUGGUUAGCGGCGGACGGGUGAGUAACACGUGGGCAACCUGCCUGUAAGACUGGGAUAACUUCGGGAAACCGGAGCUAAUACCGGAUAAUUUCUUCCCUCACAUGAGGGAAGGUUGAAAGUCGGUUUCGGCUGACACUUACAGAUGGGCCCGCGGCGCAUUAGCUAGUUGGUGAGGUAACGGCUCACCAAGGCGACGAUGCGUAGCCGACCUGAGAGGGUGAUCGGACACACUGGGACUGAGACACGGCCCAGACUCCUACGGGAGGCAGCAGUAGUGAAUCUUCCACAAUGGACGAAAGUCUGAUGGAGCAACGCCGCGUGAGCGAUGAAGGCCUUCGGGUCGUAAAGCUCUGUUGUCAGGGAAGAACAAGUAUCGGAGUAACUGCCGGUGCCUUGACGGUACCUGACCAGAAAGCCACGGCUAACUACGUGCCAGCAGCCGCUGUAA
rnacentral:rRNA from 1 species